AUUGAACGCUGGCGGCAGGCUUAACACAUGCAAGUCGAACGAGUGGCGGACGGGUGAGUAAUGCUUGUGACUCUAGCUUAUGGAGGGGGAUAACUACGGGAAACCGUAGCUAAUACCGCGUACCAUAGGAUGAGCCCAAGUGGGAUUAGGUAGUUGGUGAGGUAAAGGCUAAACAAGCCGACGAUCUCUAGCUGGUCUGAGAGGUGGACCGGCAACACUGGGACUGAGACACGGCCCAGACUCAUACGGGAGGCAGCAGUGGGGAAUAUGGCGCAAUGGGGGCAACCUGACGCAGCCAUGCCGCGUGAAUGAAGAAGGCCUUCGGGUUGUAAAGUUCUUUCGGUAGGGAGGCGUGAACUACAGAAGAAGCACCGGCUAACUCCGUGCCAGCAGCCGCGGUAAUUC
rnacentral:rRNA from 1 species